AGUCUGUCUCUUUAUAACCACACAGCCCAAACGUGGGACUCUGUAGGCAGGCAACUUCAUCUAAACAGAUUUCAACACUAUUGUUUAGUUAUCCCUGUUUUUUGUUUCUGUUUUGGCUUGUUUUUUUUAAUCAUUUCUUUGUAUUUAUGGUAAAAGACUUUGAUUUUCCAUUAUAGCAGUAAUAGAAUGUUUCCUGUUUACAAUAAGUUUCCAUAAUAAUAAAAUCUAUGGGGUUUAAAGCAAUGAUUUUAAAGCUGUCUUGGGCCUGAAUGAGCUGGGAAACCACUGUGUCAAUCACACAUAAAAGCACCUUUAGGAAGUUCACCUCAGGACAGGGCCCAGAAGAGACCAUCACCAGUGGGCUUUGUCUAACUACCCGGGUCCCUGGGCCCCAGCCCACCUGCUUGGCUCUCCCCACCCAGCACUCCUGGUACUGCCAAGCUGAUUGGGUGCUGUCCUCAGAUCCCCCGGAAGAGAAGCUGGUGAACUUUCUCCAUUGAAAUUCUCAAUUUCUGGAGGUCCCCGGCAAUCAAUAAUGAGAGUCAGACUGGAUUUUUCCCUCCUGUUUAGGUUCAUAAGCUAAAGCCCAUGCUAACAGGUGAUGUAUCUAGCUCUGUUUCAGGUGUUAAAAUGUCUACGCUAAUUACGGAUGAUUUUGAGACCGUACCCGUACCAUCUGUAUGGUCACACAAAGUGGAAUUCACAAGCCAGAAGGAAACCUAUUUUAUUACCGUAUUAUCAUGACCACGUAAUGCAGUUCAACUGUAACAUCUUUCCCUUCGGGUUUUCUUCUUUGCUCAUAUUUUAUUUGUAAGUGUACUUCUCAAUUUCCAAAAAUGGGAAAUUCUAGUUAGCUUUUCAUCAGGACUCUUCUAGCACAAUUGCAUUACCCAAAAUCAUGCUCUGUGUGAUUUCAUUCCUCUGAAAUAUGUUGAAAUUUGCUUUGUGGCCAAAAUAAAUAAGGUUAAUUUUUGUAAUUAUACUAUAUGUGCCUGAAAUUAAUGUUUCCUCUGCAGUUGUUAUGUGAUAUUGAGCGAUAUAUGGAUAUAGCUAUAUGAUUAAAAUGGUUUGCUAGUAAGAUCUUCUACACCUUACAGAUGCUCUGUGGUGCUCAUUGUAUGACUUGUUGAGGGAGAGGUGUGAAAACCUCCCACUCUGCUUGUGUAUUUGAUUAUUCUUGUAUCUCUGUCAUCAAAUCGAUUUCGGCCACUGCCCAUGGGAAAUCUUGGGAGUUCUCAAAGGAAGGAAGAAGCGUCCAGAAGUGGGGGACAGGAGACCUGGGUUCAGGAGGAUGAGAAAACCUAAGGUCUGAGAAGUUUCCAGAGAGGACCCGGGGUUGGAUGGUGAGCGAUGAGGCAGCAGGUGAAUGACUCAAAGAAACAUCUUCAAGAAACCACUAGACAGAAUAAGAUGCUCUUUGACGAAGCACUUAAAUUUAAGGUCAAGACUUUUCCCCGGACUCCCUCCCGGCCAGCUGUGACGCACUAAGCCCCUGCAGGCUGUGUUCCCGCCGCCAACCCCAGUCCUUUCCCUGCGCUCUGACCGAAGCCCGAGCCUCAGCUCCCAGCCCCGCCCGCCCCGGCGGGUGAGCAGACAAGCCUCUCGGACUGGUGAGUGCCGGUCGGCCCUGAUCCUCUGUGCGGGAAUCUCUCCGCUUU